UGGCCUUGCUUCAACAUAGUUCUCUAAGUCAGAGAGUGCAGACUUGAAACUUGCUGGAUCUUGACCCAAGGGAAAUUAACACUUUCCAAUACAUCCAUCCAUCCAUCAUAGACUACACUGCCAGCUAAGAAGAAUUUUACAACUUCUACAAAAACACGUAGAAGAUGACAGCAUCCAUACACUGUGUGAAAAUCAAAGGAGUGGAUUUCAAGGGAAAAUAUGCAAGAUGACCUAACCACUCUUAGUCAUGACCUGCAUCCUUUUGGAGAAUGAAACUGCUGAUCAUACAAGGAAAACAUCAUUUGAAUCAUUGUAACUUGAAAAAAAUAGAAGCCCCCUGUGGUACAGAAAACUCCACAUCAGAACCAAGAAGGACCAAACUGAUUUGAAUUGGCCAUGUGAUCAUAUGGCAAGCCCUACUGAAUGCAAUGGGACUGGCCCUCAGAGAUUUUUCUUCAUUUCUGGACAAAACAUAAUCUCCAAGAAAAGUGGCUGGAAUUAUGCAGCAUAGUUUCUAGCAAUCCACAGGCAUCCAUGGGCAUGUUAUGGAUUACAAUACAUACAGAAACUUGCCCUGAA